rnacentral:rRNA from 1 species
AUGAACGCUAGCUACAGGCUUAACACAUGCAAGUCGAGGGGAAACGAUAUUGGAAGCUUGCUUCCGAUAGGCGUCGACCGGCGCACGGGUGAGUAACGCGUAUCCAACCUGCCCACCACUUGGGGAUAACCUUGCGAAAGUAAGACUAAUACCCAAUGAUAUCUCUAGAAGACAUCUGAAAGAGAUUAAAGAUUUAUCGGUGAUGGAUGGGGAUGCGUCUGAUUAGCUUGUUGGCGGGGUAACGGCCCACCAAGGCAACGAUCAGUAGGGGUUCUGAGAGGAAGGUCCCCCACAUUGGAACUGAGACACGGUCCAAACUCCUACGGGAGGCAGCAGUGAGGAAUAUUGGUCAAUGGACGAGAGUCUGAACCAGCCAAGUAGCGUGCAGGAAGACGGCCCUAUGGGUUGUAAACUGCUUUUAUAAGGGAAUAAAGUGAGUCUCGUGAGACUUUUUGCAUGUACCUUAUGAAUAAGGACCGGCUAAUUCCGUGCCAGCAGCCGCGGUAAUACGGAAGGUCCGGGCGUUAUCCGGAUUUAUUGGGUUUAAAGGGAGCGUAGGCCGGAGAUUAAGCGUGUUGUGAAAUGUAGACGCUCAACGUCUGCACUGCAGCGCGAACUGGUUUCCUUGAGUACGCACAAAGUGGGCGGAAUUCGUGGUGUAGCGGUGAAAUGCUUAGAUAUCACGAAGAACUCCGAUUGCGAAGGCAGCUCACUGGAGCGCAACUGACGCUGAAGCUCGAAAGUGCGGGUAUCGAACAGGAUUAGAUACCCUGGUAGUCCGCACGGUAAACGAUGGAUGCCCGCUGUUGGUCUGAAUAGGUCAGCGGCCAAGCGAAAGCAUUAAGCAUCCCACCUGGGGAGUACGCCGGCAACGGUGAAACUCAAAGGAAUUGACGGGGGCCCGCACAAGCGGAGGAACAUGUGGUUUAAUUCGAUGAUACGCGAGGAACCUUACCAAGUCUUGACAUCCUCUUGACCGGUCAGUAAUGUGACCUUUUCUUCGGAACAAGAGUGACAGGUGGUGCAUGGUUGUCGUCAGCUCGUGCCGUGAGGUGUCGGCUUAAGUGCCAUAACGAGCGCAACCCCUCUCCUUAGUUGCCAUCAGGUUAAGCUGGGCACUCUGGGGACACUGCCACCGUAAGGUGUGAGGAAGGUGGGGAUGACGUCAAAUCAGCACGGCCCUUACGUCCGGGGCUACACACGUGUUACAAUGGCAGGUACAGAGAGACGGUCCCUUGCAAAACGGAUCAAAUCCUUAAAGCCUGUCUCAGUUCGGACUGGGGUCUGCAACCCGACCCCACGAAGCUGGAUUCGCUAGUAAUCGCGCAUCAGCCAUGGCGCGGUGAAUACGUUCCCGGGCCUUGUACACACCGCCCGUCAAGCCAUGAAAGCCGGGGGCGCCUAAAGUCCGUGACCGUAAGGAGCGGCCUAGGGCGAAACUGGUAAUUGGGGCU